rnacentral:piRNA from 1 species
UAAGAGGAUGAAGGAUGAGCAUCCUGCCGGGU